rnacentral:lncRNA from 1 species
GUCCGUUGAGGUAUAGCACUAUUUCGCCGAUUUUCCCUGAUAUUUGCAUAAUACGCUUAUUCAAUUCUCUGACACAGGUCACCGGCACACCAAGCGCUCCUCAACCACCGGUCUUUUCUCAGGGAGCUGGUCCAAGCACCGCACCGAUCGUUGUGGAGUCUUCCUCUUCUGACGAACCCAUGGCGCAAGCCCCUGAGCAAGGUGUGACGGCUUCCCAAAUGCAACAUGAAGAAAUUCGUUUCAAAGUGGUAAGUUACAUUCCGGCUUUGCUCAGCCGAUUUGCUCUUACUCCCAGCCGAUUCAUUUUUCCUUUUUAUUAUCUUCAGGAACAAGACACCCCCGACAACAGCCUCUUCUCUUUUGCGGUUGCCCUCUCCGACGACGAAGAAGUCGCUUCCCGCCAAGUCGCCUUGAGCUCCAUUCUUGACGACGUCCGAGCCAAACUUGCUAGUAUCCG